rnacentral:tRNA from 1 species
UCCAUUGCUCAGUUGGUAGAGCACAAGACUCUUAACCUUGUGGUCGUGGGUUUAAGCCCUACGAUGGAG